AUCGCUUCUCUUUGGCUAAGAUCGAGUAUAGUAUCUGUUCUUACCACUUUAAUAUCGGAUACGGCCUCUACCCAAGGAUGAUAUAUUAAAUGAAUUUUUGGAGCAGGGAGGUGGAGUAGGAGCUUGCUUAUCUCUUGCAGUACUUCCGGAAUGGUGCACAACAAAGAAAAGAGAGAAAGACAG
rnacentral:snRNA from 1 species